rnacentral:rRNA from 1 species
CGGGAGCUGACGAGCGGCGGACGGGUGAGUAACGCGUAGGAAUCUAUCCAGUAGCGGGGGAUAGCCCGGGGAAACCCGGAUUAAUACCGCAUACGCCCUACGGGGGAAAGCAGGGGAUCUUCGGACCUUGCGCUAUCAGAUGAGCCUGCGUCGGAUUAGCUUGUUGGUGGGGUAAUGGCCUACCAAGGCGACGAUCUUUAACUGGUCUGAGAGGAUGAUCAGUCACACUGGAACUGAGACACGGUCCAGACUCC